UACGAAGGGAGCUAGCGUUGUUCGGAAUCACUGGGCGUAAAGGGCGCGUAGGCGGCCUGCUAAGUCGAACGUGAAAUCCCUGGGCUCAACCCAGGAACUGCGUCCGAUACUGGAUGGCUUGAGUUUGGGAGAGGGAUGUGGAAUUCCAGGUGUAGCGGUGAAAUGCGUAGAUAUCUGGAGGAACACCGGUGGCGAAGGCGACAUCCUGGACCGGUAUUGACGCUGAGGCGCGAAAGCCAGGGGAGCGAACAGG
rnacentral:rRNA from 1 species